rnacentral:rRNA from 1 species
GACGAACGCUGGCGGCGUGCCUAAUACAUGCAAGUAGAACGCUGAAGGAGGAGCUUGCUUCUCUGGAUGAGUUGCGAACGGGUGAGUAACGCGUAGGUAACCUGCCUGGUAGCGGGGGAUAACUAUUGGAAACGAUAGCUAAUACCGCAUAAUAGUAGAUGUUGCAUGACAUUGGCUUAAAAGGUGCAAUUGCAUCACUACCAGAUGGACCUGCGUUGUAUUAGCUAGUGGGUGGGGUAACGGCUCACCAAGGCGACGAUACAUAGCCGACCUGAGAGGGGGGUCGGCCACACUGGGACUGGGACCCGGCCCAGACUCCUACGGGAGGCAGCAGUAGGGAAUCUUCGGCAAUGGACGGAAGUCUGACCGAGCAACGCCGCGUGAGUGCAGAAGGUUUUCGGCUCGUAAAGCUCUGUUGUAAGAGAAGAACGAGUGUGAGAGUGGAAAGUUCACACUGUGACGGUAUCUUACCAGAAAGGGACGGCUAACUACGUG